UCCCUGGCAGUUCAGUGAUUAGAACUCAGGGCUUUCAGUGCCCUUGAGCAUGGGUUUGAUUCCUGGUCAGGGAA
rfam:TPA: Bos taurus chromosome 19, whole genome shotgun sequence.